GGGAGGAUGGCCGAGCGGUUAUGGCGGUGAGCUCUCACCCCUGAAGCAACUUCAGGAACUUCAUAACUGAUUCAUUCUCUCAUAGUGGGACUCAAGCGUACAGCUUAAAUCCUAGCUCACUAGAUUUCUCAUGGGGCAACCCGCGUGGGUUCGAAUCCCACUCUCUUCA
rnacentral:tRNA from 1 species